rnacentral:rRNA from 1 species
GACGAACGCUGGCGGCGUGCCUAAUACAUGCAAGUAGAACGCUGAAGAGAGGAGCUUGCUCUUCUUGGAUGAGUUGCGAACGGGUGAGUAACGCGUAGGUAACCUGCCUGGUAGCGGGGGAUAACUAUUGGAAACGAUAGCUAAUACCGCAUGAUAUUAAUUGUCGCAUGAUAAUUAAUUGAAAGAUGCAAUUGCAUCACUACCAGAUGGACCUGCGUUGUAUUAGCUAGUUGGUGAGGUAACGGCUCACCAAGGCGACGAUACAUAGCCGACCUGAGAGGGUGAUCGGCCACACUGGGACUGAGACACGGCCCAGACUCCUACGGGAGGCAGCAGUAGGGAAUCUUCGGCAAUGGGGGGAACCCUGACCGAGCAACGCCGCGUGAGUGUAGAAGGUUUUCGGAUCGUAAAGCUCUGUUGUAAGAGAAGAACGGGUGUGAGAGUGGAAAGUU